rnacentral:rRNA from 1 species
CUCCAACGAGCGCAACCCUGAUCCAGCAAUACCGCGUGUGUGAAGAAGGCCUGAGGGUUGUAAAGCACUUUCAGUGGGGAGGAGAGUAUUUAGGUUAAGAGCUAGAAUACUGGACGUUACCCACAGAAGAAGCACCGGCUAACUCCGUGCCAGCAGCCGCGGUAAUACGGAGGGUGCAAGCGUUAAUCGGAAUUACUGGGCGUAAAGGGUGCGUAGGUGGUUAAGUAAGUUAUCUGUGAAAUCCCUGGGCUCAACCUGGGCAGGUCAGAUAAAACUGUUUAACUCGAGUAUGGGAGAGGGUAGUGGAAUUUCCGGUGUAGCGGUGAAAUGCGUAGAGAUCGGAAGGAACACCAGUGGCGAAGGCGGCUACCUGGCCCAAUACUGA